rnacentral:lncRNA from 1 species
CCAAGAGUUGAACUGGACAUCUUAAAGCAUCCAAUGCGCCGAAUUGCCACGACUUCCAGCUGGAGUAAUAACAUACAAUACAAGUUCGUUAGGAUGACUAAUAUUUUUUUUUGGAAAAAACUACAUUAAUUAUUUUUAAUGUAAUCUAAUGUAUCACCUAAAUGAAAUAAUAAUAAAAAAAAUGAAAAGUUGAAGGGAGUACUAGACAGUGAUUAUGACAAGAAAUGAAGGGCAUUUUUGGGUAUGUGAACUAUAAAAUGGGAAGCAUGUAUGGUUGUUUCCCAUGCACAAACCUUAAGCUCUCCCACACGACUCAGUAGCCAUAGCGAGUUUCUUUUGUUUCCCUUGUUUCUAGAGAGUAAUAAGAGUAACCAUGAAGAAGAGGCAGCAGCAAGAACAGCAAAACGGCAGCAAAGAGAAUUGCAACUAUCUUCACCAGCAGCAGAUGCAGAAGCAGAUACAAUGCAAUAAAGCCAAAGUCUGCAAGUUCAAAAGGAGCAGCUCCAAUCUUGAAGAUGAUGGUGCUUCCUCUGCUAUUCUCUUGCUCGCUUGUAUUGCCUGCACUCCCUCUUUUUGAUUCACAAGUCUCUGAUAUUAGUUAAUUAAAUUACAUAUAGAUAGUUCAACGGUCUCUCUCUGUGUGUGGUCUGUAAAAUAGUUUUAUAUCUUCAUUACGCUUAGCUUAUCUUUAUGGAUAUUCUUGCUAAUGUUAAUUAGCACGUGCACUGUUCUUCUCCUGAUAAUCCUAAAUUUGUAACCAAAUCUCUGUGUUCAUCGAUCAGUAUCAGUAUAUUUGUACUAACUAGGUAGUAAGAGCGAGUUGCAAUAAUGGAUAACAGAGAGAUGAUGAAUUGAUGUAUGAGGUAGAUCAAAUUGUAAUGGUAUUCUUCUUUCCAUUUAAUUUUUGAAUAAUUUUAUAAAAAAAAAUUUAAAAG